rnacentral:hammerhead_ribozyme from 1 species
GGCUAGCUGACGAGUCCCAAAUAGGACGAAACGCGCGUCCUGGAU